GCUCGUUAGGCAAAUUUAUAAAGUCAUGGGGUUUAUUUUUAGAACAGCAUUGUGGUGGCUUACCAGUGUUUCUGUUGCUGCUUCCAUGGGUAAUUAUCCGUUAAAUAUGGAUUGGAUUUGUUUUUAUAUAUGGAGAGAGAGAGCGCGAGAGAGAGCGACGGAAAACCUUGUUCUUUCUUGCUUCAACGCUCACAUCUCGACGAGCACUUCUCCCUCGAACAACCCCUUCGCACCUGUGUUCAACGGAAUUCACAAAGACGUUACCUGAAAAAGCUCUCUAAACCCCAGCCUCAAAUCUCCCCUUUUUUUUAUUAGCAUUGACCUCAAAAGUACCCAGAAAUGAACAACUGAGACACACAACUGGUGAAUGGAUUACACAGCAACCAAAAAAGACCUGUCUUUUCCCUAAUCCAACGCACACACACACACACACACACACAGAAAAACGGGAUUAUGAAUCAAAAUCCGCACCGCAUUGAAUGCAAAUCCCGGUGUUAUGCGGAACACAAAACAAGAUUAGGCCGUCCGACGAAGAUGAAUGUCCCUUUCGUUGCUAAAUUCAAUAAGAGAUUCAUUAGGGGGAAAAUCAUACGGCUACGCAUCAUGUCAGGCGGGUCUUAAGAAUGCAUUACGGCCAGGGCCAACGGCGCUGCUGAACUGAAAUGAUCGAGUGCGAUAUCAGGCCUGACGUCAAACUGUUUAGCCUCGUUACUCGCGUCGUUCUAGUCGGUCCGUCGCUCACGCCACAGCACGGCAAAUCCGUCAGAACAAGUUAAAGCGACGCAACACAGCAUCAGCGUUCCGUCGUGUAGCUCCUGCUCGCUCCGUGGAGUACAGCGUUAUUUUUAUUUAUCAAUGAUUGCUUCUUUCUUUCUUUCCUUUCUUUCUUGCGUAAGUAAAACCGUGGCGCGCGAUUAAAUAUGAAGUAUGAAAAAUGGCCCAGAGAACCGCAAUGAACUGUGGGAUCAACAGAAGGGAAAAGGGCGGGAGUUUUAGGCGGGAGUUUUGGCCGAUUGUGGAGCCCGAGAAAUCUGUCAUGGUAAGCGGACCUUCGGAAAACCGGAGCUAAGAGCAAUCCGCUGUUUAUUUUAAUUUUUCUAUCCCGCCUUUCAUGGUUCUAUGAAUCUCACCGGGUAUCUGCGGUCUAAAAGCCAGCCGACACAAAGGGAAAUGUUUU
ensembl:lncRNA